rnacentral:rRNA from 1 species
AAAUUGAAGAGUUUGAUCAUGGCUCAGAUUGAACGCUGGCGGCAGGCCUAACACAUGCAAGUCGAACGGUAGCACAGAGAGCUUGCUCUCGGGUGACGAGUGGCGGACGGGUGAGUAAUGUCUGGGAAACUGCCCGAUGGAGGGGG